CUUUCCAGCUUUCAAAUUUUGUUUCUUACGCAACAAAUAAGUCUUCCUGAGUCUACCUUUACCAUCCAAAAACAUUACUGUAUCCAUUCACAUAUCUUCAAAAAAAUUCUCUCAAAACAUCAUUUAAACUUUCUUCCUUGCUAACUUACUUUACCAAGCAAACAUGGCUGCAGCUUUGGUUGGAGGUGCGUUUCUCUCUGCUACCAUUCAAACCAUAGCAGAGAAGCUUACCUCAUCAGAGUUUCGUGGUUUCAUAAAAAACACAAAGUUCAAUUAUUCACAACUGGCUGAGUUGAAAACAACACUGUUUGCUCUUCAAGCUGUGCUGGUUGAUGCAGAGCAGAAACAGUUCAAUGAUCUUCCUGUCAAACAAUGGCUUGAUGACUUGAAAGAUGCAAUCUUUGAUUCUGAAGAUUUGCUAGAUUUAAUAAGCUACCAUGUCCUGAGGUCCACGGUGGAGAAAACGCCAGUUGAUCAGCUGCAGAAGCUUCCUUCAAUUAUAAAGAUCAAUUCCAAGAUGGAGAAGAUGUGUAAAAGACUGCAAACUUUUGUCCAACAGAAAGAUACACUUGGCUUGCAAAGAACGGUAAGUGGUGGAGUUUCUUCUAGAACCCUUUCAAGUUCGGUGCUAAAUGAAUCUGACGUGGUGGGUAGGAAUGAUGAUAAAGAUAGACUCAUCAAUAUGUUGGUAUCAGAUGUUGGCACAAGCAGAAAUAAUAAUUUAGGUGUUGCUGCAAUUGUGGGUAUGGGAGGCGUCGGUAAAACGACCCUUGCACAGUUUGUUUACAAUGAUGCAAAAGUUGAACAACAUUUUGAUUUCAAAGCCUGGGUUUGUGUAUCUGAGGAUUUUGAUGUUAUUAGAGCAACCAAGUCUAUCCUUGAAUCUAUUGUUAGAAAUACAACAUCAGCUGGCUCAAAGGUUUGGGAAAGCGAUAAUCUUGAUAUCCUUCGAGUUGAAUUGAAAAAGAACUCGAGGGAGAAAAGAUUUUUGUUUGUGUUAGAUGAUUUGUGGAAUGAUGAUUACAAUGAUUGGCUUGAACUAGUAAGUCCACUCAAUGAUGGAAAACCCGGGAGUUCGGUGAUUAUAACAACGCGCCAACAAAAAGUUGCAGAGGUGGCACACACAUUUCCUAUUCAGGAAUUAGAACCUCUAUCUCAUGAAGAUUGUUGGUCUUUACUCUCAAAACAUGCAUUUGGUAGUAAGGACAGUGAUCACAGUAAAUACCCAAAUCUUGAAGAGAUUGGCAGGAAGAUUGCUAAAAAAUGUGGUGGGUUACCAAUAGCUGCCAAAACACUUGGAGGACUUAUGCGUUCAAAGGUAGUUGAAAAGGAGUGGUCUUCAAUUCUAAACAGCAACAUAUGGAACUUACGAAAUGAUAAAAUUUUGCCUGCUUUGCAUUUGAGUUAUCAAUAUCUUCCUUCUCAUUUGAAAAGAUGUUUCGCCUAUUGUUCUAUUUUUCCAAAGGAUUACCCACUUGAGAGGAAAAAAUUGGUUUUGUUGUGGAUGGCAGAAGGUUUCCUUGAUUAUUCUCAAGAUGAAAAUGCGAUGGAGGAAAUUGGUGAUGAUUGUUUUGCUGAAUUAUUAUCAAGAUCAUUAAUUCAACAAUUAAGCAAUGAUGCUCAUGAAAAAAAGUGUGUCAUGCAUGACCUUGUCCACGAUUUAGCUACAUUCGUCUCAGGAAAAAGUUGUUGCAGGCUUGAAUGUGGUGACAUCCCUGAAAAGGUUCGUCACUUCUCAUAUAACCAAGAAUACUAUGACAUUUUCAUGAAGUUUGAGAAAUUAUACAAUUUCAAAUGCUUGCGAACCUUUCUGUCUACAUACUCCAGGGAAGGCAUUUACAAUUACCUAUCCUUAAAGGUGGUUGAUGAUCUGCUCCCAUCACAAAACAGGUUGCGUGUGUUAUCACUGUCAAGGUAUAGAAACAUCACCAAGCUACCAGAUUCAAUUGGCAAUUUGGUGCAAUUGCGGUAUUUAGAUACCUCCUUCACUUACAUCGAAAGCUUGCCUGAUACAACAUGUAACCUUUACAAUUUACAGACCUUGAAUUUAUCAAACUGUACGGCUCUCACUGAAUUACCAAUACAUGUUGGAAAUUUAGUUAGUUUACGUCACCUUGAUAUAACUGGGACUAACAUAAGUGAGUUGCCUGUGGAAAUUGGGAGACUAGAAAACCUUUAAACUCUCGCACUAUUUUUAGUGGGUAAGAGACAUGUAGGGUUAAGUAUCAAAGAGCUCAGGAAAUUCCCAAACCUACAAGGAAAACUUACCAUCAAGAACCUGGAUAAUGUGGUUGAUGCCAGAGAGGCACACGAUGCCAACCUAAAAAGCAUAGAGACAAUCGAGGAGUUAGAGCUGAUAUGGGGAAAACAAAGUGACGACUCGCAAAAAGUGAAAGUUGUGCUCGAUAUGUUGCAACCACCAAUAAAUUUGAAGAGCCUGAAUAUUUGUUUGUAUGGUGGGACAAGUUUUCCGAGUUGGUUGGGAAGUUCUUCGUUUUAUAACAUGGUAUCUCUCAGUAUCAGUAAUUGUGAAAAUUGUGUGACACUUCCAUCCCUAGGGCAGUUACCUUCUCUCAAGGACCUAGAAAUAUGUGGUAUGGAGAUGUUGGAGACAAUUGGCCCGGAGUUCUAUUAUGCCCAGAUUGAAGAAGGAUCUAAUUCUUCCUUCCAACCAUUCCCAUCCCUUGAGCGUAUAAUGUUCGACAACAUGCUCAAUUGGAAUGAAUGGAUUCCCUUCGAAGGCAUAAAAUUUGCUUUUCCUCAACUUAAGGCUAUAAAGUUACGUAAUUGUCCAGAACUAAGGGGACAUUUGCCCACCAACCUUCCUUCCAUAGAAGAAAUUGUAAUAAAAGGUUGUGUUCAUCUAUUGGAAACACCAUCUACUUUGCAUUGGUUGUCUUCAAUAAAAAAAAUGAAUAUCAAUGGGCUUGGUGAAAGUUCCCAAUUGUCAUUGCUUGAGAGUGAUUCUCCUUGUAUGAUGCAAGAUGUAGAGAUUAAAAAGUGUGUUAAGCUAUUAGCUGUGCCAAAAUUGAUUCUGAAAAGCACUUGUCUUACACACUUGGGACUCGAUUCUCUUUCUUCUCUCACUGCAUUUCCCUCAAGUGGUCUACCCACUUCAUUGCAAUCACUUAAUAUUCAAUGUUGUGAGAAUUUAUCCUUCCUUCCUCCUGAAACGUGGAUCAAUUACACAUCACUUGUGAGUCUUAAGUUCUAUCGUAGCUGUGAUACACUUACAUCCUUUCCACUCGAUGGUUUCCCUGCGCUCCAAACACUUACCAUAUGUGAGUGCAGGAGUCUGGAUUCCAUUUAUAUUUCAGAAAGGUCUUCACCUCGGUCGUCGAGCCUCGAAUCACUUGAGAUCAUAUCCCCUGAUUCAAUUGAAUUAUUUGAAGUCAAGCUUAAGAUGGACAUGCUCACAGCUCUUGAAAGGUUGACUCUAGAUUGUGUAGAGUUGUCAUUUUGUGAAGGAGUUUGUCUACCUCCCAAAUUGCAAUCAAUUAAGAUUUCUACCCAAAAAACAGCACCGCCGGUUACGGAAUGGGGUCUCCAAUAUUUGACAGCACUUUCCGACUUGGGUAUUGUAAAGGGUGAUGAUAUAUUUAACACCUUGAUGAAGGAGUCAUUGCUACCCAUCUCCCUUGUGACUCUAACUAUCAGGGAUCUCUCUGAAAUGAAGUCCUUUGAUGGAAAAGGGCUUCGUCACCUCUCCUCUCUCCAACGUCUCCGUUUUUGGGAUUGUGAACAACUUGAGACAUUGCCAGAAAACUGCCUCCCUUCCUCGCUGAAAUUACUUGAUUUGUGGAAAUGUGAAAAGCUUAAAUCAUUACCAGAAGACAGCCUCCCUGACUCUCUGAAGAGACUGCUCAUUUGGGAAUGUCCAUUGUUAGAAGAAAGGUAUAAAAGGAAGGAACAUUGGUCCAAAAUUGCUCACAUCCCAGUCAUAUCAAUAAAUUACCAAGUCACAAUAUGAUAGACAAGUUGUGUUCCCAUUUCAGAAUAGGCAUAAUAAAUGGAUGAAAAUCAGCUCACUUGAUGAAAUGAAGAAAAAAGUGAAACAAGAUUUUGAGUUCAUGAUUCCUCUUGUAAGCUUGUUUUAGAGGAGCCAAAUGCAUGGUUGCCAUUGAUUGCAUCAAGAUUGAAUUUGCUUAGCUAGUAUUAAUUAUGUAUUUUCUUAUCAUUUGACUUCACCUUUGAAUAUUUUUCAAUACUAUGCACAACAGGGUUUGUAAUAUAAGUAAUUUUCGAUUUUACA